GGUAAUAUGUUCCCUAUUCACUGAAAUCACUUAACCGGAAAUACAUUUAGAAGGUAUCUGGGUUAUCCUACAGAUACGCAGGAAGUGUGGGAAGUUUUCCUGUUUACUCUGUUCUGUCAAGUUGGAAUUUGGAUUGCUGCAACUGCAGUAGCAAGACAGAUCACCCAUUAUAAGACCAGUCGAUGAUCUAGCAACAUGCACCAAUCUCGUCCUCGAAAUAAGAGGAAGCCAGAUUCGUCUCGGUCCAAAUCGGCCCCAGGAGCCUACAACACCGGCAGCAUGCAGGCCUUUGAUCCCGGCCAGAAUGUGCAUCUGUGGACAAUGUGGCGUAUUGCUGUCACAGAACAGGUUAUUAGGAAUACGAAACUUCAGCAGAGACUUCGAGACGAGGGCAGAAAGACGAAAAAACCCGACACUCUUACCAGUCCGCCGUUAUUGCAAUAUAUACAUGUCACGGAAUCCACGCACGCACGCGCAAACGCUAUGAUGGGUCCGUGGGGUGAUGCGAGUUCGAGUGACUUGUUGACAAAACAAUUUAUUUACUACGGCCUGCCACGUGUAAACAUCAAACAGGACGGUUCUUCUGCCAUCUCUCAUCAACCGCCGUACUGAUAUCCAAAACGUUACAAUGCCAUGACGAAUGGUGUAGAUGGCGAUUCUGUUUUGACUAAUGAUGUAUUGUGAUGCUCCUUCCACGUGAACACUCGAUGGUGCUUUGGAAGAUGUUUCAGCUGGUGUAUAAUGCAUUACGUUAGAAGACGGUUGAAAAUUUUGAAUCAGAAAGACAUGAAAUGGCUGAAAAGCCAUAUACAUAUCAGCGAGAAUUAAAUAUGAUGCAUGUAAUGUUAAAUAGCUUUAACAUACAAUAUGCAUAUUUCAGUAAGUUCCUUUGUAGCUGAACAAGAUUUGCGUACAUUGUCAUUUCUACCACUCAGACAACUAGUGAAGAACAAUUGGACAUUUCUACCGCUCAGACCUCUAGUGAAGAACAAUUGGACAUGUAUACCGCUCAGACCACUAGUGAAGAACAAUUGGACAUGUAUACCGCUCAGACCACUAGUGAAGAACAAUUGGACAUGUAUACCGCUCAGACCACUAGUGAAGAACAAUUGGACAUUUAUAUCGCUCAGACCACUAGUGAAGAACAAUUGGACAUUUAUAUCGCUCAGACCAUUGGUGAAGAACAAUUGGAUACUCUCUGGUCACCUGGACACCAACAAUCACUGAAAUACAACGUGUCCGGACUCGGUCGAUAUUGACUAUCUUCGCUCCAUAAAGUAUCAUAUCGAUCGAAACAAACUGACAUAACUGAUUUAUUAUAUUUCGGUGUCAAAACCAGAACACAAAAUGCUCAAGGUAUGAAUAUAUGCCAUUCAAAUUCCAUCUUAAUCCAUAGUAUUCACCAAAUUAAAGCGCCAUAAAUAUGGCAUCUUUGAUAAAACAACUUAUUGCACUAGUUGUCGAUCUUGUGCGACAAAUCUGAUUGGCUGAAAUAACGCGACGUCACAGAACACUUGCACGAGCUUGGAAUAUGAUGUUUUAUUACUGUCGCAGAGUGCAGUUCGAUAUUAAAUGGAGUAACACAUGAUCAGAUGUAGACCGAUCGACAUAUGAUACAAAUGUUGAAAUUGGGAAAUGUAAUUAAGCUCUUUAUGUCACGUGAUCUAUUAUAUUGUAUUGUCUCUAUUGUCUAACUGAAGACACCACGAGUGUUUACCCAUUAGUUAGCAUAACAACUGGAGUAGUGUUCCAUAUAACAUUCAGUAUCUUCAGUAUCCAAGAGAGUGUCCAGCUUGAUAUAUCAAUGCAUUAUUACACAGGUAACGUGUAAACGUAGGAGAAAAUAGGGAUGAUUGUCUUUACGUUCAUAUCAUAGCGUUUAAAAAUAAUGUAUUAGUGUACUGAAAAACAAUGAAUACAGAAAAAUAACUCGUCGAAAAGAAACUCCCAGAUUAUUAUCAAACGUCAGAUUGGAGAAAUUACAACUAGUAAAACUGGCCGAUAGGUCUUUAUCGUAGUCUAGUGUCUUGGUCUCCCAAUCGUUCGAACAGGUCGUUAAAAGUUGUUUGAUCAGUAUGGAUACCUGUAGAUACCACUAGAGGUACGUAUUUUGUUAAGUAUUUAGGCUCUGUCAGAUACCUGUAAAUUUCACUAGAGAUACGUAUUUUGAUAAGUAUUUAGGCUCUAUCAGAUACCUGUAAAUUUCACUAGAGAUACGUAUUUUGAUAAGUAUUUAGGCUCUGUCAGAUACCUGUAAAUUUCACUAAAGAUACGUAUUUUGAUAAGUAUUUAGGCUCUAUCGGAUACCUGAAGGUACCAUUAGAGGUACGUAUUUUGAUAAGUAUUUAGGCUCUGUCAGAUACCUGUAAAUUUCACUAGAGAUACGUAUUUUGAUAAGUAUUUAGGCUCUAUCGGAUACCUGAAGGUACCACUAGUGAUACGUAUUUUGUUAAGUAUUUAGGCUCUGUCAGAUACCUGUAAAUUUCACUAGAGAUACGUAUUUUGAUAAGUAUCUAGGCUCUGUCAGAUACCUGUAGAUUUCACCAGAGAUACGUAUUUGUUAGUAUUAAGGCUCUGUCAGAUACCUGUAGAUUUCACCAGAGAUACGUAUUUUGUUAAGUAUUUAGACUCUUUCAGAUAACUGUAGGUCCUACUAGAGUAUUUUGGUUUUUUUUUUUCAAGGCUCUGUCAGAUACCUGUAGGUCAUGAUACCUGUAUGUCUCACUAGAGAUACGUAUUUUGUUUAGUAUCUAGGCUCUGUCGGAUACCUGUAGGUUCCGCUAGAGAUACGUAUUUUGUUAAGUAUUUAGGCUCUGUUAGAUACCUGUAGGUUCCACAAGAGAUACAUAUUUGGUAAGUUUCUGGGCCCUUUCAGAUAACUGUAUGUCCCACUAGAGUAUUUUUUUUCAAGGCUCUGUCAGAUACCUGUAGGUACCACUAGAGAUACGUAUUUGGUGAGUAAUUAGGGUCUUUAAGAUAACUGUAGGUCCUACUAGAGUAUUUUGAGGUUUUUUUCAAGGCUCUGUCAGAUACCUGUAGGUCAUGAUACCUGUAUGUCUCGCCAGAGAUACGUAUUUUGUUUAGUAUCUAGGUUCUGUCUGAUACCUGAAGGUCUCACCAGAGGCUCGAUUUUUUAAGUAUCUAGGCGCUGUCAGAUGUCAGUACGCCUUACUAAGGAAACUUAAACGAUGUUUCGCAACAACCGGGGUCAUUUACCUGAUGUCUGGUACAAUGCACCGAAAAUAACUCCACUAUCACAGAAAAAAAUCAAAUGUGCCAUAUCCAAUGACUUAUCCUAUCUAUGUUUUAGUUUGAUGGAUGGUAUGUCCUCUGUGAUAGAUGGUAUGUCCUCUAAGUAGUUAUUUAGGUGGUGUUCGGUUAACAACACUUGAAUACAUUAGUUGAAACACGGUGUCAAGUUGAAUUCUUCAAACUACAUUAUGUAUCAUUGUUGCAACGUGAAACUGUUUCGUCUGAGAUAAUAAACUUUUACUUAACUCAACAUACAUGUAAUAUUAUAUUUGGUUUAAAUUGUGCUUAUAAAUUUCGUAUUUUUUUUUAUUAGAUAUGUUUUAGUUGUUAUUUUAUAGUACCUGUACAUAAUUAUAUGUUUAUAUUACAUUGAUAAAUUGUAUAUUAGUUAACACAUGUAUACGUAUAAUGUUAUUAUGUAUUUGGAUGGUCAGUAACAUCCUUGAUUUGACAUAAAUCAUCCGUAAUUGGA